AUUGAACGCUGGCGGAAUGCUUUACACAUGCAAGUCGAACGGCAGCACGGGGCAACCUGGUGGCGAGUGGCGAACGGGUGAGUAAUACAUCGGAACGUGCCCAAUCGUGGGGGAUAACGUAGCGAAAGUUACGCUAAUACCGCAUACGAUCUACGGAUGAAAGCGGGGGAUCGCAAGACCUCGCGCGAAUGGAGCGGCCGAUGUCAGAUUAGGUAGUUGGUGGGGUAAAGGCUCACCAAGCCAACGAUCUGUAGCUGGUCUGAGAGGACGACCAGCCACACUGGAACUGAGACACGGUCCAGACUCCUACGGGAGGCAGCAGUGGGGAAUUUUGGGACAAUGGGCGCAAGCCUGAUCCAGCCAUUCCGCGUGCAGGAUGAAGGCCUUCGGUGUAAACUGCUUUGUACGGUACGAAAAAGGUACCUGGUUAAGUAACCUUGGGGCGUCAUGACGGUACCGU
rnacentral:rRNA from 1 species